rnacentral:lncRNA from 1 species
UGCUUUGUUGUUCUCUUCACAUCAAUUUUGAUCAACCACGAGGCUCGGCCAGUUCCUUCGCCGCAGCCGCCGAGGCGUCCGACCAGCCUAGGACACCGUGUCUUUGUAGAAAAUGCGAAACAAAUGUUGAAGGAAAUUAUAAGGAGGAAGCAGUUGCUGGGAACCCAAUACAAAAUCAAUAGACUUAGCCCAGGUGGUCCUAAUCCUCAUCAUCAUCGUUGAUUAAUAGUAGUAAUAUUAACAGGUGAAGAUUCAUAGGCAGCUAUUUUCAUGUGAAAUUGAUAGUUAAAAAUCAUUAGAUAAUUUAAUAUAUUUAACUAAAUUAUUAUCUAACGGUUUUUAACCAUCAAUAAAUAACUGCACGCAUGUGAGUUUCUACUAUAUUAAUAAUUCGCAUUCUAUCUUUAGGGUUAUAGGGGAUCAUUGUUGUUCCUCAAAAAUAAUCAUCCCAAUUCUUUGUGAUUAUUGUAUUAUUGUUGAUACAUUUGUGUAUCAUUGAGAUUAUGAUGCUUAAAAAAAUCAAGAAAUUAAAGGGGACAGUGUUGAGUGUCGUCCUAUAAGAAUUAAGCAGCUGCAUUUGGAGCAUAGUGGUAAGAUUGGUCACAUUUGUAUAAACUUUAUAUUUUUUUUUUACUAUUGAAAGAAGAGAGAGGGAGGGGUGUUGUAUUUUAGAAAUAGAUUACUUUUUUUUUUUUUCAUUUGAUGUUUAUUAUGUAUUAAACUUUAUCUAUGUUGUUAUUUAUUAUUGAAG